rnacentral:tRNA from 1 species
GGGGAUGUAGCUCAGUUGGUAGAGUGUUUGCCUGGCAUGUACAAGCCCUGGGUUUGAUCCCCAGUACCA